CUCACCAGUCUGGGACUUGACAAGUAGGCUAGUCUGACUGGCCAGUGAGCCCAGGGAUCUGCUGGUCUCUACCCCCAGAGCUAGGAUUAUGAGGUGCGACCUCUUAGCCUCUUGCUCCUGCUGCUGUACCUGCUGCUGGCCAAGAUGGACUCCUCCCUCUGGACCUUAUGCCAAAACAAACUGCUUUUUCCUUAAGCUGGCUAUGGUGCUUUGUAACAGCAACAACAGAAGUGUAUCUAAGGAGCGUGGGGUUACUGUGGAACCCUGGCUCCUUCAGGACUCACCCAUCCACAGGCCACCGCGCACCUGUGAACCCAAGUCCCCAAACCCUGCCGCUGCCGACACUGUUGACAAGGAAAGACAGCAGAGAAAAGGGAUGAAAUCUGUAUUCUGCGGCUGGGACACUGAGGGACGCCACGGAGACAAGACAAACAGGAUUGUUCCUUAUCUGGAGUCCUGGACCGGGCUUUCCUAAAAAGAAAUGGCUCCCCACAAAAGCCACAGGAUUCUUUUAUUUCCCGCUUUUCGUGCCAGAUGUUUCCCGGGACACUUGAAGAAGAUGGAGGAAGUAGAAUGAACCCAGGCUUAGCCCAGCAACUCAGCUCCCCUCUGACCUUGAACAGGUCCCUCCCGGCACACUGGAGGUUUCUCAACCACAGGGCAUGGGUUUCCUUUCUUUGUGUACCUCUUGGUUGUGCUGAGAAGCAAAGAAAACUAGCAAAGUCAGAAGCACUUUGGAAAUGUCGAGCGUAUCACGUGACCUCAAGGCUCUUGAAGCAUCACAUGACCUGAAGGGUUCUGGAUCUCUUCAUCCAAAAUGGCAGCGGGAAACUUCAGCCUGAUUUCUUUCCUUCUUCCUUCCCGUUGUUCCUUCCUCACUGGAAAAGCACCGAGAGAAUCCCGCCCCUGUACCAGACGCUGUUAUUUUCUCAGGGACUGAGGAUUCCCACAGGUUCCCGGAACUCAGAGGGAGGAGGGAGCAGAUCUAAAUAAACUAUAAUUAUGAUGAGUGGGUAUGAGGCCUGUUUGUUUUGAUCUUGCCAGGUAGCCCAGGCUAGCUGGCUAUUGGUGGAAGGCCUUUUAGGAGAUCCAUCUUUUUUGAGGAGUCCAGGGAGCUGUGAAGUAUAGAAAGAGGUUCAUGCCUGUUAGCCCAGCAUGUGGGAGGCUUAGGCAGAAAGACUAGGAGUCCAAAGUCUUUCCUCAGGAAACCUGGCUGUGUGGCUAAAAAAACGGCCCCAGAAGAAGUUGACACAGUAGAUAUAUUUUCUUUUUUUCUUUUUUCUUUUUUUUCGG
rnacentral:sRNA from 1 species